rnacentral:rRNA from 1 species
AUUGAACGCUGGCGGAAUGCUUGACACAUGCAAGUCGAACGGCAGCACGGGGGCAACCCUGGUGGCGAGUGGCGAACGGGUGAGUAAUACGUCGGAACGGGCCCGGUCGUGGGGGAUAACGUAGCGAAAGUUACGCUAAUACCGCAUACGAUCUGAGGAUGAAAGGGGGGGACCUUCGGGCCUCGCGCGAUCGGAGCGGCCGAUGUCAGAUUAGGUAGUUGGUGGGGUAAAGGCCUACCAAGCCGACGAUCUGUAGCUGGUCUGAGAGGACGACCAGCCACACUGGGACUGGGACACGGCCCAGACUCCUACGGGAGGCAGCAGUGGGGAAUUUUGGACAAUGGGCGCAAGCCUGAUCCAGCCAUUCCGCGUGCAGGACGAAGGCCUUCGGGUUGUAAACUGCUUUUGUAUGGAACGAAAAGGCUCUGGCUCAUACCUGGGGCUCAUGACGGUACCGUAAGAAUAAGCACCGGCUAACUACGUG